rnacentral:tRNA from 1 species
UCCCUGGUGGCCUAAUGGGUGAAGGAUCAGCACUGUCAUUGCUGUGGCUUGGGUCGCAUCUUUGGCGCAGGUUUGAUCCCUGGCCUGGGAA